AAGGCGAUUUUACAUUGACCUGAUACAUCAGGUCAGAUGGCGAAGUGGACAGUGAAGCUUGGCGAGUUCGACAUACAAUUAUCACUUAUGACUGUCCAUGAAGGCACAAGUUUUGGCCGACUUUGUCGCAGAAUGUAUAAUAUCCGAUAAUAAGCUAAAAGAUACAGAUGAUAAUACAAUAAAGGAGGCUACGACUCCCGACCCCGACC
rnacentral:lncRNA from 1 species